GGCGCCAUGGCUUAGUGGUGAACGCGCUUGUUUUUGAAUCUCAUGACCCGAGUUCGAUUCCGUGAGGUGUCA